UGUGUUGACUAAUUGACUAUUGCCUACAUUCCAGAACGGCAGUGGCAUCAUCUGAAGUCAACAAAUUUCUUUCGCUCACAUUUGAUCAACAAAAGGCAAUGUCACCUUAUACGUGCACAGCACUACUGGUCUACGAUAGUACCUCAAACCUCCACAUAUAAACAUUCAACAGGAACCUCCAUCCUCACCCGCUCUUCACUUCCACUUCAGUUCUCCUUCAACAGGUGUUGAUAUGGUGAAAUAUUACUUGAGUUUCAAUCUGCAAAUUUUUCAAACACACUCUAUUUGCAACUUUCACAGUGUAGUGCUACGUGAAGGAGGACUGCUGAGCAAAAAGUGUAAUACCAGACUUACAGGUGACAAGCAUACAGCAAAUAACAAUGACAGCAUUACAGUACCUCAUUGAAACGGUGACGCAAGGGCAAAAACAAAAAAAAACCUUAAAAUACUUUAAAAAAACCUGCUGCUUCUUUGGUUCCGUUACAUUUUAACAAUGUUGGUGCAAUACAGUGACAGGCUGCAGCUUGUAUUGGAAUAUGAA